UCUUGACGAAGGUAUCUGAGAUAGAUACACAUGAAAAUGAAAUAAUUUAGUUGCUUCUUCCACACUAGUUUUGGGACCCAUAAUUCAUAUUGUUUGCCCCAUUAGACGAAGAUUAUUUGUCUCAGUGGCAGCUCUGCUAGAGUUUAUUCUAGUUCCUUCACAAACGCUCAAUUUCCUUCUAAUAAUCAAUUAAUUUACAAAGGAUAUAUGUUG
rnacentral:misc_RNA from 1 species